UACGUAGGGUGCGAGCGGUAAUCGGAAUUACUGGGCGUAAAGCGUGCGCAGGCGGCUUUGCAAGACAGAUGUGAAAUCCCCGGGCUUAACCUGGGAACUGCAUUUGUGACUGCAUGGCUGGAGUGCGGCAGAGGGGGAUGGAAUUCCGCGUGUAGCAGUGAAAUGCGUAGAUAUGCGGAGGAACACCGAUGGCGAAGGCAAUCCCCUGGGCCUGCACUGACGCUCAUGCACGAAAGCGUGGGGAGCAAACAGG
rnacentral:rRNA from 1 species